rnacentral:rRNA from 1 species
UGGGGAAUAUUGCACAAUGGGGGAAACCCUGAUGCAGCGACGCCGCGUGAACGAAGAAGGUAUUCGUAUCGUAAAGUUCUGUCCUAUGGGAAGAUAAUGACAGUACCAUAGAAGAAAGCUCCGGCUAAAUACGUGCCAGCAGCCGCGGUAAUACGUAUGGAGCGAGCGUUGUCCGGAAUUAUUGGGCGUAAAGGGUACGCAGGCGGUUUAAUAAGUCGAAUGUUAAAGAUUGGGGCUCAACCCCGCAAAGCAUUGGAAACUGAUAAACUUGAGUAGUGGAGAGGAAAGUGGAAUUCCUAGUGUAGUGGUGAAAUACGUAGAUAUUAGGAGGAAUACCAGUAGCGAAGGCGACUUUCUGGACACAAACUGACGCUGAGGUACGAAAGCGUGGGGAGCAAACAGG